UAUUUUAAAUGAUAGUGCAGAUACUUUUUGUAUUCAGUGGCGAUAGGCUUGGAAAAAGGAAUUCUUAUCCCCAGCACUUUUCAAAUAUCGCCUCAUACCUCACGUACUAGCUAACAGCAGAAAGUCUGCACUCUAAAUGCUGCUCGAGAUGUUUGCAAUGGUGUGAAAACACCAAAAAGAAAUUAAGGUCUCAAUGGUCAGUACAUCUUUCCUUUGAAGGAGCCUUCAUGCCUUCUGCAUACUAUGCUGGACUUAAACACUGCGAGUUUGUUUGGACAGAGC